UAACCUUUCGAACUCGGAAGUUCCACAAUGAAAUCCAUGGACUAGUGGGACCAUGUAACACUGGGUAAAGGAAGUGGAUGUAACAAUCCACAAGGAAGUCUACGAGGAACCUUUCAAACUGCACAUACAGAACAGGCCUCCACAUAUUAUUUGAUAUCUUUCCUGAGUGAAUCCCAUCAAAAUUAUCUUGAGACAGCAGAUAUGGUCUUAUUAAUACCGAGAUGCCCAGCAGUCACAUUGCUGUGGAAUACCCUCAUUACUUCCUCUCUUUUAAGCAACAUAAUAAACAAUUUAUCUAGAGUUUUAUUGCAAGGUGCCUGGGAUUGAGCUGCCAUGAUAGCACAAAGAAGAGGACAAGGAAAUAACAGUGGAAGCAAUGAUCAAUUCAGGUGGAACAAUAGGGGAUGUAUCUGUCAGGAUUACAGAAUGAUCCAACACGUAGAACUGUGUAACACAGAGGACUGAUAGGUAACGUAUACCGGACCUUAGAAUGGCCGGACUAACGUACCAAAGAAUAGUCAGGAAUAGCCGAGGUCAAGGGAUGCCAGAAAACAGGGAAGUCAAAAACAAUGCCAAAGUCAAAUAACCAGAAUAACCAGAAUCAAUAACACGCUCUCGGACAACCACGACAGGGCACUGAGCAGGAUGAGAACUGGGCCUAAAUACCCCUCCUCUAGGUCUGAUAGGCUGUAACCGGCCUUUGACCCCAAAGGCAGUUACCAGAUCUCAUUUGCAUAAUUGCUGCUCAGCAUUAACCCUUCUGUGGAUUUGGUUGUUGCUCGGCACAACAAGAGGUUUGAGCAAGGA